rnacentral:rRNA from 1 species
ACUCCUACGGGAGGCAGCAGUGGGGAAUAUUGGACAAUGGGCGCAAGCCUGAUCCAGCCAUGCCGCGUGAGUGAUGAAGGCCCUAGGGUUGUAAAGCUCUUUCACCGGUGAAGAUAAUGACGGUAACCGGAGAAGAAGCCCCGGCUAACUUCGUGCCAGCAGCCGCGGUAAUACGAAGGGGGCUAGCGUUGUUCGGAUUUACUGGGCGUAAAGCGCACGUAGGCGGACUAUUAAGUCAGGGGUGAAAUCCCGGGGCUCAACCCCGGAACUGCCUUUGAUACUGGUAGUCUUGAGUUCGAGAGAGGUGAGUGGAAUUCCGAGUGUAGAGGUGAAAUUCGUAGAUAUUCGGAGGAACACCAGUGGCGAAGGCGGCUCACUGGCUCGAUACUGACGCUGAGGUGCGAAAGCGUGGGGAGCAAACAGGAUUAGAAACCCUAGUAGUCCCAUG